UGCUUAACACAUGCAAGUCGAGACGAGAAAGAUAAGCAGAGAUUCGUCAAAGCGAGUUCUUGGACAGCGGCGGACGGGUGAGUAACGCGUAGGUAACCUACCUUAUGCUGAGGGAUAGCCUAGGGAAACCUGGAUUAAUACCACAUAACGCGGGAGGGUCACAUGGCCCCUCGCCAAAGAUUUAUCGGCAUGAGAUGGACCUGCGUCUGAUUAGAUAGUUGGUGAGGUAACGGCCACCAAGUCGACGAUCAGUAGCCGAUCUGAGAGGAUGAUCGGCCACAUUGGAACUGAGACACGGUCCAAACUCCUACGGGAGGCAGCAGUGGGGAAUAUUGCACAAUGGGCGCAAGCCUGAUGCAGCAACGCCGCGUGAGCGAAGAAGGUCUUCGGAUCGUAAAGCUCUGUCCUUGGGGAAGAAGGAAGUGACGGUACCCGAGGAGGAAGCCCCGGCUAACUACGUGCC
rnacentral:rRNA from 1 species